rnacentral:rRNA from 1 species
GGCGGCGUGCCUAAUACAUGCAAGUCGAACGAGUUCUCGUUGAUGAUCGGUGCUUGCACCGAGAUUCAACAUGCAACGAGUGGCGGACGGGUGAGUAACACGUGGGUAACCUGCCCUUAAGUGGGGGAUAACAUUUGGAAACAGAUGCUAAUACCGCAUAGAUCCAAGAACCGCAUGGUUCUUGGCUGAAAGAUGGCGUAAGCUAUCGCUUUUGGAUGGACCCGCGGCGUAUUAGCUAGUUGGUGAGGUAAUGGCUCACCAAGGCGAUGAUACGUAGCCGAACUGAGAGGUUGAUCGGCCACAUUGGGACUGAGACACGGCCCAAACUCCUACGGGAGGCAGCAGUAGGGAAUCUUCCACAAUGGACGCAAGUCUGAUGGAGCAACGCCGCGUGAGUGAAGAAGGCUUUCGGGUCGUAAAACUCUGUUGUUGGAGAAGAAUGGUCGGCAGAGUAACUGUUGUCGGCGUGACGGUAUCCAACCAGAAAGCCACGGCUAACUACGUGCCAGCAGCCGCGGUAAUACGUAGGUGGCAAGCGUUAUCCGGAUUUAUUGGGCGUAAAGCGAGCGCAGGCGGUUUUUUAAGUCUGAUGUGAAAGCCCUCGGCUUAACCGAGGAAGCGCAUCGGAAACUGGGAAACUUGAGUGCAGAAGAGGACAGUGGAACUCCAUGUGUAGCGGUGAAAUGCGUAGAUAUAUGGAAGAACACCAGUGGCGAAGGCGGCUGUCUGGUCUGUAACUGACGCUGAGGCUCGAAAGCAUGGGUAGCGAACAGGAUUAGAUACCCUGGUAGUCCAUGCCGUAAACGAUGAAUGCUAGGUGUUGGAGGGUUUCCGCCCUUCAGUGCCGCAGCUAACGCAUUAAGCAUUCCGCCUGGGGAGUACGACCGCAAGGUUGAAACUCAAAGGAAUUGACGGGGGCCCGCACAAGCGGUGGAGCAUGUGGUUUAAUUCGAAGCAACGCGAAGAACCUUACCAGGUCUUGACAUCUUUUGAUCACCUGAGAGAUCAGGUUUCCCCUUCGGGGGCAAAAUGACAGGUGGUGCAUGGUUGUCGUCAGCUCGUGUCGUGAGAUGUUGGGUUAAGUCCCGCAACGAGCGCAACCCUCAUGACUAGUUGCCAGCAUUUAGUUGGGCACUCUAGUAAGACUGCCGGUGACAAACCGGAGGAAGGUGGGGAUGACGUCAAAUCAUCAUGCCCCUUAUGACCUGGGCUACACACGUGCUACAAUGGAUGGUACAACGAGUUGCGAGACCGCGAGGUCAAGCUAAUCUCUUAAAGCCAUUCUCAGUUCGGACUGUAGGCUGCAACUCGCCUACACGAAGUCGGAAUCGCUAGUAAUCGCGGAUCAGCACGCCGCGGUGAAUACGUUCCCGGGCCUUGUACACACCGCCCGUCACACCAUGAGAGUUUGUAACACCCGAAGCCGGUGGCGUAACCCUUUUAGGGAGCGAGCCGUCUAAGGUGGGACAAAUGAUUAGGGUGAAGA